GUGAAUCAUCAAAUUUUUGAACGCAAGUUGCACUCUCUUCGGAGAGUAUGCCUGUUCGAGGGUAAUUAAAAAGAAUCUUUAACCAAUUUUUCUGGUCAAAGGAUAUGAGUUCUCCGCGUUUAUAGCGUUAGCUUGAAAUAAAUGGUCAAGCCUCAUUUUAGUCGAGACGCGUAAUAAUAUUAUUUCGCGAAAUCUUCAUUAUUUGACUAUCAAUUUUUGAUGCAUACAAAUUUGUUUUAAAUGCGAUCAAUACAAAUAUUUUGAACAUUACCUCAAAUCAGGUAGGAUUACCCGUUGAA
rnacentral:misc_RNA from 1 species